rnacentral:tRNA from 1 species
AGCAGCGUGGCUCAGUGGAAAGAGCAUGGAUUUGGGAGUCAGAGGUCACGGGUUCAAAUCCCGGCUCAGCCA